CAUUAGAGACUCGUUGAUGUUGCCAGUGAACUUUACUAUACAGUAGUUACAGGAUUUACUGUCAUUUAAGAGAAUCCUGGAGUUGGAUCCCAUCCCCCAGGAACUCACAUUCAUAGAUGAGGCUGGAAUCAACGUAGCAAAGACGAGAUGGAGAGGAAGGAACAUCAUUGGUCAAGGCGUCAUCAUUGAGGUACCUGGUCAGGGCUGGGGGAAUGUCACCAUAUGCCCAGCUAUGAGCCACAAUGGAGGUCAUCCACCACCAUGCCACCAUAUGCCCAGCUAUGAGCCACAAUGGGGGUCCUCCACCACCAUGCCACCAUAUGCCCAGCUAUGAGCCACAAUGGGGUCCUCCACCACCAUGCCACCAUAUGCACAUCUAUGAGCCACAAUGGAGGUCCUCCGCCACCAUGCCACCAUAUGCCCAGCUAUGAGCCACAAUGGAGGUCCUCCGCCACCAUGCCACCAUAUGCCCAGCUAUGAGCCACAAUGGAGGUCCUCCGCCACCAUGCCACCAUAUGCCCAGCUAUGAGCCACAAUGGAGGUCCUCUCACCAUGCCACCAUAUGCCCAGCUAUGAGCCACAAUGGAGGUCCUCCACCACCAUGCUACCAUAUGCCCAGCUAUGAGCCACAAUGGAGGUCCUCCACCACCAUGCCACCAUAUACCCAGCUAUGAGCCACAAUUGAGGUCCUCCACCACCAUGUGACCAUAUACCCAGCUAUGAGCCACAAUGGGGUCCUCCACCACCAUGUCACCAUAUGCCCAGCUAUGAGCUACAAUGGGGGUCCACCACCAUGCCACCAUAUGCCCAGCUAUGAACCACAAUGGAGGUCCUCCACCACCAUGCCACCAUAUGCCCAGCUAUGAACCACAAUGGAGGUCCUCCACCACCAUGCCACCAUAUACCCAGCUAUGAACCACAAUGGGGUCCUCCACCGCCAUGCCACCAUAUGCCCAGCUAUGAACCACAAUGGGGUCCUCCACCGCCAUGCCACCAUAUACCCAGCUAUGAGCCACAAUGGGGUUCUCCACCGCCAUGCCACCUGUGGACCAUACAACCACAGCAAUGGCCUGU
rnacentral:lncRNA from 1 species